rnacentral:rRNA from 1 species
AGACGGAGGGGGCUAGCGUUGUUCGGAAUUACUGGGCGUAAAGCGCGCGUAGGCGGACCUGUAAGUCGGGGGUGAAAGCCCGAGGCUCAACCUCGGAACUGCCUUCGAUACUACAGGUCUUGAGUCCGAGAGAGGUGAGUGGAAUUCCUAGUGUAGAGAUGAAAUUCGUAGAUAUUAGGAAGAACACCAGUGGCGAAGGCGGCUCACUGGCUCGGUACUGACGCUGAGGUGCGAAAGCGUGGGGAGCAAACAGGAUUAGAAACCCCAGUAGUCC